rnacentral:lncRNA from 1 species
UUUUAAGCUUCUCUGACUGCGCAUUUGUUAGCGAUCUGAGUCUUUCGACCCAUUUGUAGCUGUAGCCCCGUGUCAUUAGCGCCACAUUGUUUGCCAGCAAAAUAAGCUAAAGCACCCGAAUGUGGCAUUUUUUGCAUGUUUUCAUAUGGAAACAUUAAUCAGUAGUUUGGUGUUAGACAAACCUCAAGCAACAACCUGUUUAAUCCUCUGUGGCUAAUCCACUCUUGGCCUUGUUAGUCACAAUUUAUUCAGCUAUGACAAAAGAUAUCAGCAGGACUCCAGAGGGCAUUCUGACAGUCUUUAGAUGCCACCUUUCUCUCAAGACUUGCGAGCGUUAAAAAGAGCAGCUUAUCAAUACACCAAAGACAUUUUCCCUUUCUGAUCUCCCAAUCAUUCAAAUAUAAAUCAGCUUUUCUCGACCGGACCCUCGUCGCCUUUGUUUCUUAGUGCUGCCAGCCCGAACAUUUCAGGCAUGUGCUUCUUUGUCCCGAAAAUCUCAGUUUUUCCUCAUAAUUCAAAGCCUUAUUAUUCCACUUUUUACAGAAGUGCUUAAAGGACCCUUGAAGUAACUUAUUUGAAGGAAUAAUUAUCUUUUGUAGAAAUGAGAAGAGCAGCACUCAGCUUUAACAUCUAAAUGGGCUAUUGUCAACUGAUCAGGCCCCUCAAAAGAUAAGCCUAUUUCAAGCACAGCCUACGAGGAGGGGUAAAUUUGCACUGGCAGCUGUAACAAAAACCAACACAGAGGAAUGCUGGCCAGAAAUGGGUUUUCUUUCUCCUGUCGAGAGGACUUAUAUCAUGACAUCAGAAUGAUCAUUCUAUUUUUUUUUUUUUUGCUCAUAAUGGUUCUUCUGUGUUUCACCAUGUUUCCACUGCAAAUUACCAAGUUAAAAGUUGUAACGUGCACAAAUUGAACAUCUGUCUAAUUUCUAAAAAGGGAUUGUUAUGGAAUUUCUAUUAGUUUUGACUUUCUUAAUAUUAAUAGUGGCAAUUCACUUGUUUCAAAGUCAUUAAAUGUUUCUACUGUGGUAGAUGUGCUGAUUUUACCUUUAGCUUAGUUGGGUAAAUUCUUUCAUCACACUAAAAACUGCUAGCAAAUUCCACAAAAAAAUUACAAAGAAAUGACAAGUAGGCUAACAUCCAAUUAAAUGUGAAAUUUUAAAGUAGAAAGACUGAAAUAGUAUCUUCUUUAAAACCAACUUCAGUAACUGCAAAAAAUAAUUUACAGUUGUAGUAAACAGAAUAUGCAUAGUAAAUGUUUUGUCCUUUGAAUUUGAUGAUGUUGGAAUCAUAGUAAAUGUUUUGUCCUUUUUGAAUUUGAUUGAUGUUGGAAUCGGAAAUAGUAACUAGAGUCUCAAAUUGAUUCAUAGCUAACGAAACACCUGCUGAACUCACUCCUUUCUUCAAAUCCUCAUUCACCUAACAUGGCUGUCAUCGCCUUUUUAUUGAAGGCUUGAGCCGCAUAUUAGUCUGUCACAGCCACUGAAAUGGUUACGCCGAGGCCUGGUGACAUGCAGCUGAGGUCUGGAAUAUCUAUUGUGUAGUUUAUAGGCUAUAAUUGUGUUAAAGUCAUUGGUGUCAAUGACCAUGAAGAUUAGAUGCCAUGAAAUCUAUGCAAAUGAAUACUGUAUUUACUUAUUUUCCUUGUUUUUAAA